GUGGGGAAUCUUAGACAAUGGGCGCAAGCCUGAUCUAGCCAUGCCGCGUGAGCGAUGAAGGCCUUAGGGUUGUAAAGCUCUUUCGUGGGGGAAGAUAAUGACUGUACCCCAAGAAGAAGCCCCGGCUAACUCCGUGCCAGCAGCCGCGGUAAUACGGAGGGGGCUAGCGUUGUUCGGAAUUACUGGGCGUAAAGCGCACGUAGGCGGACUGGAAAGUCAGGGGUGAAAUCCCGGGGCUCAACCCCGGAACUGCCUUUGAAACGCACAGUCUUGAGUUCGAGAGAGGUGAGUGGAAUUCCGAGUGUAGAGGUGAAAUUCGUAGAUAUUCGGAGGAACACCAGUGGCGAAGGCGGCUCACUGGCUCGAUACUGACGCUGAGGUGCGAAAGCGUGGGGAGCAAACAGGAUUAGAAACCCUGGUAGUCC
rnacentral:rRNA from 1 species